UGGGGAAUUUUGGACAUUGGGGGAAACCCUGAUCCAGCCAUCCCGCGUGUGCGAUGAAGGCCUUCGGGUUGUAAAGCACUUUUGGCAGGAAAGAAACGUCAUGGGUUAAUACCCCGUGAAACUGACGGUACCUGCAGAAUAAGCACCGGCUAACUACGUGCCAGCAGCCGCGGUAAUACGUAGGGUGCAAGCGUUAAUCGGAAUUACUGGGCGUAAAGCGUGCGCAGGCGGUUCGGAAAGAAAGAUGUGAAAUCCCAGAGCUCAACUUUGGAACUGCAUUUUUAACUACCGGGCUAGAGUGUGUCAGAGGGAGGUGGAAUUCCGCGUGUAGCAGUGAGAUGCGUAGAUAUGCGGAGGAACACCGAUGGCGAAGGCAGCCUCCUGGGAUAACACUGACGCUCAUGCACGAAAGCGUGGGGAGCAAACAGG
rnacentral:rRNA from 1 species